UGGGGAAUUUUGGACAAUGGGCGAAAGCCUGAUCCAGCCAUUCCGCGUGAGUGAAGAAGGCCUUCGGGUUGUAAAGCUCUUUCGCAAGGGAAGAAAACUUAACCUCUAACAUAGGUUGAGGCUGACGGUACCUUGAUAAGAAGCACCGGCUAACUACGUGCCAGCAGCCGCGGUAAUACGUAGGGUGCGAGCGUUAAUCGGAAUUACUGGGCGUAAAGCGUGCGCAGGCGGCUUGAAAAGUCAGAUGUGAAAUCCCCGGGCUCAACCUGGGAACUGCGUUUGAAACUCUCAAGCUAGAGUAUGUCAGAGGGGGGUAGAAUUCCACGUGUAGCAGUGAAAUGCGUAGAGAUGUGGAGGAAUACCGAUGGCGAAGGCAGCCCCCUGGGAUAAUACUGACGCU
rnacentral:rRNA from 1 species